rnacentral:Y_RNA from 1 species
GGUUGGUGGGAAGGUUGUGGGUUAUUGUCAAGCUGAUUAACAUUGUCUCUCCCCACAAAAAUGCUUGACUAGCUUAAU